rnacentral:rRNA from 1 species
UACGUAGGGUGCGAGCGUUAAUCGGAAUUACUGGGCGUAAAGGGUACGCAGGCGGCGUCGCAAGUCAGGCGUGAAAUCCCCGGGCUUAACCUGGGAAUGGCACUUGAAACUACGAUGCUGGAGUAUGGCAGAGGGAGGUGGAAUUCCACGUGUAGCGGUGAAAUGCGUAGAGAUGUGGAGGAACACCGAUGGCGAAGGCAGCCUCCUGGGCCAAUACUGACGCUCAUGCACGAAAGCGUGGGGAGCAAACAGG